AGUGAACGCUGGCGGUAGGCCUAACACAUGCAAGUCGAACGGAAGCACAGUAAGCGCUUGCUCUUACGGGUGGCGAGUGGCGGACGGGUGAGGAAUACAUCGGAAUCUACUUUUUCGUGGGGGAUAACGUAGGGAAACUUACGCUAAUACCGCAUACGACCUACGGGUGAAAGCAGGGGAUCUUCGGACCUUGCGCGAUUGAUUGAGCCGAUGUCGGAUUAGCUAGUUGGCGGGGUAAAGGCCCACCAAGGCGACGAUCCGUAGCUGGUCUGAGAGGAUGAUCAGCCACACUGGAACUGAGACACGGUCCAGACUCCUACGGGAGGCAGCAGUGGGGAAUAUUGGACAAUGGGCGCAAGCCUGAUCCAGCCAUACCGCGUGGGUGAAGAAGGCCUUCGGAUUGUAAAGCCCUUUUGUUGGGAAAGAAAAGCAGCAGGUUAAUACCCCGCUGUUCUGACGGUACCCAAAGAAUAAGCACCGGCUAACUUCGUG
rnacentral:rRNA from 1 species